CCAUGUGUGUGCGCUUACUUAGUGUGUGCGCUUAUGUGUGCGCUUACUUGGUGUGUGUGUGCGUGUGAAGAGGGUUUGCGCUUUUACGGUUGCGGUGCCUGGAUGAGCAUCGAGGGGCUGGGAUCCUGCAGCCGAAGCAUCGCGAUGCUACGAGAGUUGCGAGACGCUGUUAGGGGAGCACGCUGGUGAGAAGCGCACACACUGAGGAGCUGCUGACACCAUGGAUGGAUGCACUGUUUAAACGACUGUUAGGCUCGUGAAAGGCGCAUCCUGACACCAUGGUUCUGACCGCGCUGACCCAGUUUAGCUGCAAGGUUUUGGAUGAUGGGAGCGUGAGUAACACCUUCACCCAUAAAUCUCUGUUCCCAGAGGACAUGGAUCCUCUGUCAGUCCAAGGGAACUUGAGCCCUGAAGGGACUCUGUGGGUAACCGUACGACGGACCAGAGGCAAGUGGACCAGAGCCACGGGGAGUCACUACCUACAGCAAAGAGGCUCACCUUUGACCUUUGUGUCCUCUUGAUGACAAUCGUAGCUUUCAUUUAAAUGAGUACUGAUUCCAGUCCCGUAAGGAGUGGAAAAAAGAUCUGGGCUCAUCAAAGCUGCUCCGACUGAAGGAGAGGAUGGAAGGAAGCACGAUAAAACUCUCUGUGUGCCUGGGGAGGUUCGAAUGAGAGGAGCAGCUUCGCCACACAGUCUUCCAGAUAAGCAGAUAAGGUUUCCAAAAAGACCAACUGAGACACCAAGAGUGCAGAUUACUGUUGCAAUAUGAAUUUCAAUUUCCAGAGGCUCCUGGGAAACCUUCCUCUACAAAGAGUCAAAGACCUAACCAUGCUACUACUUCUUGUAUACCUAAAUCUUUUUUCUCUUUUCAGAUUUCUUUACAAAAAUAAUGUUAUCUUGCAUUUAUGUCAUCGAUUAAAACAGGUCUAGAAAAUGAGAUGAACAACUGUUAUUGCACAAAUCAAUUACCCACAGGCGGAUCCAUCAAUAAAAAGAAACUGUACAA